CCUUGAAUGGCCCAAAAGCAUAAUACAAUAAACUGCCUAAUUUUCACAACUAAAUAGCCCAACCACAACAAUGAAUAAGGUUUAAUGUUUCAAAUUAUAUUUUGGCCAAACUGAUAGCUUUUGGCCCAUCAGAAAUUGUAACCUGCAACAUUUAUUUGUCUUGAAUAUAUAUAGGUAAACAAGGUAAAAGGAAAAAGAAAAA